GGAACCCACGAACUGCCAGAUCAUGAUCUGAGAGCCGAAGUCCGAGGCCCAACCAGACUGAGCCACCCAGGCGCCCCAAGUCGGUGGUCAUUUUUUAAGCGGAAGGUUAUCAUCGUAGGAGGUCCAUACCUACAAAGUGACAUACCUUCUCAACCGUGCUCCCUUUUGCCUGCUGCACAAAGGCUGACACAGAAAGAAGGAAAGAAAGAAGAGACACCCAAAUCUAGCACACCGACCACGUAAUUUCUUCUCGUGUUCCUAGUCUGUUGCCCUGUGUCGUUAUGUGCCCUUUUAUGGGUCCCCUCAGGUCCCGACAGAAAUAGCAAGAUGUCAUCUC